GUGGUUGUAGCUCAGCGGUGAGCGCUCGCCUAGCAAGUGCAAGGCCCUGGGUUUGAUCCUCAGCACCACA
rnacentral:tRNA from 1 species